AACCAGCUCUUCAAGUGGUCGGGAUAAUUAUUGGGCUUAAAGUGUCCGUAGCCGGAUUGGAAGGUUCCUGGUAAAAUCGGGUAGCUUAACUAUCUGCAUGCUAGGAAUACUAUCAUUCUAGAGGGCGGGAAAGGUCUGAGGUACUACAGGGGUAGGGGUGAAAUCUUAUAAUCCUUGUAGGACCACCAGUGGCGAAGGCGUCAGACUGGAACGCGCUGACGGUGAGGGACGAAAGCCAGGGGAGCGAACCGGAUUAGAUACCCGGGUAGUCCUGGCCGUAAACGAUGCAUACUAGGUGAUGGCAUGGCCAUGAGCCAUGUCAGUGCCGUAGGGAAACCGUUAAGUGUGCCGCCUGGGAAGUACGGUCGCAAGGCUAAAACUUAAAGGAAUUGGCGGGGGAGCACCACAAGGGGUGAAGCCUGCGGUUC
rnacentral:rRNA from 1 species